UACGUAGGCAGCAAGCGUUUGUUCGGAGUUACUGGGCGUAAAGGGUGUGUAGGCGGUUGUUUUAAGUUUGGUGUGAAAUCUCCCGCUCAACCGGGAGGGUGCGCCGAAUACUGAAUGACUAGAGUGCGGGAGAGGAAAAGUGGAAUUCCUGGUGUAGCGGUGAAAAUGCGUAGAUAUCAGGAGGAACACCGGUGGUGUAGACGGCUUUUCUGGACCGUAACUGACGCUGAGACACGAAAAGCGUGGGGUAGCA
rnacentral:rRNA from 1 species